AAAAACAUCGCCUCUUGACUUGUAAAUAAGAGGUCCAGCCUGCCCAGUGAAUUUUUAACGGCCGCGGUAUCCUAACCGCGCGAAGGUAGCAUAAUCACUUGUUCUUUAAAUGGGGACUCGUAUCAACGGCAUCACGAGGGUUUUACUGUCUCCUCUUUUUGAUCAGUGAAAUUGAUCUUCCCGUGAAGAAGCGGGAAUACUUAUAUAAGACGAGAAGACCCCAUGGAGCUUUAAACCAAAUAGCAACUUAACCAUAUAUUGCCUAAUAAUUUUAAGCCCGUGCUAUAAGGUUUUUGGUUGGGGUGACCGCGGAGUAAAGCACAUCCUCCACGACGGAAAGACUAUAAUCUUUAUUUAAGAACUACAAUUCUAGAAAUUAGUAUACUAACGUUUACUGACCCGACAAUCGAUCAACGGAACAAGUUACCCUGGGGAUAACAGCGCAAUCUACUUCAAGAGCCCAUAUCGACAAGUAGGCUUACGACCUCGAUGUUGGAUCAGGGUAUCCCAGUGGUGCAGCCGCUACUGAAGGUUCGUUUGUUCAACGAUUAAAACCCUACGUGAUCUGA
rnacentral:rRNA from 1 species